AGUGAACGCUGGCGGCAGGCAUAAUACAUGCAAGUCGAACGGCAGCACAGCAGAGCUUGCUCUGUGGGUGGCGAGUGGCGGACGGGUGAGGAAUACAUGGGAAUCUGCCCAGUCGUGGGGGAUAACGUAGGGAAACUUACGCUAAUACCGCAUGCGCCCUUCGGGGGAAAGCCGGGACCUUCGGGCCUGGCGCGAUUGGAUGAGCCCAUGUCGGAUUAGCUAGUUGGCGGGGUAAUGGGCCCACCAAGGCGACGAUCCGUAGCUGGUCUGAGAGGAUGAUCAGCCACACUGGAACUGAGACACGGUCCAGACUCCUACGGGAGGCAGCAGUAGGAAUAUUGGACAAUGGGCGCAAGCCUGAUCCAGCCAUGCCGCGUGAGUGAAGAAGGCCCUCGGGUUGUAAAGCUCUUUGUCC
rnacentral:rRNA from 1 species